UCCGGUUUGUCACCGGCAGUCUGGCGUGAGUCCUCAACUUAAUGUUAGCAACACACCACGGGGGUUGCGCUCGUUGCGGGACUUAACCCAACAUCUCACGACACGAGCUGACGACAGCCAUGCAGCACCUGUGGUGCACCCUCGAAGGUCACACGUUUCCGUGCGCUUGCAGCACCAUGUCAAGCCCAGGUAAGGUUCUUCGCGUUGCGUCGAAUUAAACCACAUGCUCCACCGCUUGUGCGGGCCCCCGUCAAUUCCUUUGAGUUUCAGCCUCGCGGCCGUACUCCCCAGGCGGGGCGCUUAAUGCGUUAGCUGCGGCACAGAGACCGUGGAAUGGCCCCCACACCUAGCGCCCACCGUUUACGGCGUGGACUAC
rnacentral:misc_RNA from 1 species